rnacentral:lncRNA from 1 species
GAAAAUUUAAUAAGAAGUUACAGUAUUGAGAAUUCAUUGCGAGAAACAUAUUACAAGCCUGAUCGGCAGGUGUUAACUAACCCAACUGGACAUACAGUGCAAUAGCCAAAGACUAGACUGAAACAUCCUACAUAAGAUCUGCUGAUUUCCCUGCAACUGUCGUUUGCACUGCGCACCAAAACAACAUCCCAUACCCCUUCAAAAUCUUUAAAUUUCCCCUCGACAGGUUGAAGUUACAAAGCCCAUGACCAGCUUUAAAAGGUAUGACGUACUUUACUCUCCUGCCCAUUAUGGAACAACUGCUUCCUCUCCAUGUUUGCUGCUUCCCUUCAUGCUCCUCUCUGAUGAGGGCCUAAUUUCCCUGCUGCAUUUGUCAAAAAUUGUUAGUUAGAAGAUAAAUAUUUUAACUUCUAAUACAUGUAGAAGACCUGUAAAGAUAAUACUUACUGUGGCUUUUGGAGAUUUAGACCGAGAGAGGAUAGAUCAUUAUAUUCUAAAAUUCCUGUAAAAAACAAAAAUAUAAUCUGAAAAACACAUACGCUGCUUAGGUCAAGUGAAACUGAAAUUUAAUUUCACUGAAUUCAAGCAAGGAGUCCACUACGUACAGGUUCCAUGUUUUCAAGAAUGGAGCAUUUCAUUCAUGGAGUCCAACUACGACACCACCCAUGACGAUUCCACUCAAGUUAAAAGACUCACACGAGAGAACAGAUCAUUAUAAUUAUAAAUUCAGAUGAGAAAAUAUUGCAAAUUAGGUAUGUGAAAAGAUAAUUCAAGAAGACUUAC